CGCGGCCCCACCUCCCCGCACGUCUCCCAGUGACGUCCCAGGACCUCUGCACCCCAGACGGCCGCACAUCUCAGGACACAGUGUCUUCAUCGUCAUUGAAAGUGGGACGAGCCAGAGGGAGUGACAGCAAGACAGCAGCCACCAUUUCCAAGGAAUCUCACCAGGACAAACUUCCUUGGUAGGAGACAUUGUCAAGGGAUGAACAGAGGCUGCCAAUUGUGGAAAAUGCAAGAUACACACAAAUUGUCCACUUUUCAUUUCCUAUCUUGGUAUCUAAGAAAAGUUGUUCGAAAGAAAAAAAAACAGGUCUGUCCACGCUCCAGGACAGAUCGACACAUUCUGAAGCUUACAUGCUGGGGGUUAGAAAUAUGCCAGGUCGCCAUGUGAUCGUUACUGGUCUUGGGGCCGGAGAGAUGUUCAGAAAAGAAGCUACACACAUGAAGAACAGAUGGCAGGAGAGCAGAAACACAAAGCCAGUUUAAAUAAACAGCGGUGGUGGCUUAGAAGAAAACUACAUGAGACCAAAGGAUGCAGGAAUGGGUAUUAAAGGGUGAAACUUGAAGCAAGAAAAGAAUAUAGGGGCCACAGGCAUGGAGAUGGGGGUUUCCCUCUGAGGAAAGAAGAGCCUGUUUAAUUGGGUGUGAAGUAUUUGUUUAGGAUGGGCAUGCUUUCUAAAA